GUGGAUGAUGCAUUCAGACCGAAGUGGGCUGAGGAGAGAGAGGAAGAUGAGAAAGUGGUCACAGUGCACUGGCUCUACCUGACAGGAAGCAUUUCUGGCCCAGCUGGAAGUGAGCAGAGGGCCGUGAGGCUCCUGAAGACCAUCCCAGAGACCACGGGUCACCCAACAUAUGCCAUGCUAAGGCUGGAUCUGUUAUGGUGAGAUUGGGCCUCAACUCCAAAAGGACCUUGUCAAGGAUUUUAU
rnacentral:lncRNA from 1 species